rnacentral:rRNA from 1 species
AACGAACGCUGGCGGCAUGCCUAAUACAUGCAAGUCGAACGAGAUCUUCGGAUCUAGUGGCGCACGGGUGCGUAACGCGUGGGAAUCUGCCCUUGGGUUCGGAAUAACAUCUGGAAACGGAUGCUAAUACCGGAUGAUGACGUAAGUCCAAAGAUUUAUCGCCCAAGGAUGAGCCCGCGUAGGAUUAGCUAGUUGGUGAGGUAAAGGCUCACCAAGGCGACGAUCCUUAGCUGGUCUGAGAGGAUGAUCAGCCACACUGGGACUGAGACACGGCCCAGACUCCUACGGGAGGCAGCAGUAGGGAAUAUUGGACAAUGGGGGCAACCCUGAUCCAGCAAUGCCGCGUGAGUGAUGAAGGCCUUAGGGUUGUAAAGCUCUUUUACCCGGGAUGAUAAUGACAGUACCGGGAGAAUAAGCCCCGGCUAACUCCGUGCCAGCCGCCGCAGUAAUAC